UUGAUGGUUGUUUUUAUUCGAGUUUAUAAUCUCUUUAUCUUCUUAUUUAUAUGUGUUUAUCUUCUCAUUAGUUUACCCAGAAACAUGUACUUUAUUUAGAUUUACCACGAUUCUGAUUUUCACUAUUCUGCGAUUUCAUCCAAAUUCAGGGCAGUUUCAGUUCUCUCCCUCUCUUUUGAUAUUAUGUUUAUUCUGUGUUUAUAUUUGUUUGUACAUUGAGGACAAUGU
rnacentral:lncRNA from 1 species